AACUAGCCCUGAUAGAAGUGGAUAUCCUUUUUUUUAUCGAAAAACUGGCUAAUUAUAAACUAAACGUUCUAAAAAAAAGAUAGGAACGGAUAGCAGGAUUAGCU
rnacentral:sRNA from 1 species